ACAAUCCUUCGGGUGCGUUAAUGGGCGUCGAGCGGCGGACGGGUGAGUAAUGCCUAGGAAAUUGCCUUGAUGUGGGGGAUAACCAUUGGAAACGAUGGCUAAUACCGCAUAAUGCCUACGGGCCAAAGAGGGGGACCUUCGGGCCUCUCGCGUCAAGAUAUGCCUAGGUGGGAUUAGCUAGUUGGUGAGGUAAUGGCUCACCAAGGCGACGAUCCCUAGCUGGUCUGAGAGGAUGAUCAGCCACACUGGAACUGAGACACGGUCCAGACUCCUACGGGAGGCAGCAGUGGGGAAUAUUGCACAAUGGGCGAAAGCCUGAUGCAGCCAUGCCGCGUGUAUGAAGAAGGCCUUCGGGUUGUAAAGUACUUUCAGUUGUGAGGAAGGGGGUAACGUUAAUAGCGUUAUCUCUUGACGUUAGCAACAGAAGAAGCACCGGCUAACUCCGUGCCAGCAGCCGCGGUAAUACGGAGGGUGCGAGCGUUAAUCGGAAUUACUGGGCGUAAAGCGCAUGCAGGUGGUUCAUUAAGUCAGAUGUGAAAGCCCGGGGCUCAACCUCGGAACUGCAUUUGAAACUGGUGAACUAGAGUACUGUAGAGGGGGGUAGAAUUUCAGGUGUAGCGGUGAAAUGCGUAGAGAUCUGAAGGAAUACCAGUGGCGAAGGCGGC
rnacentral:rRNA from 1 species